UAAGGAAUAUUGGUCAAUGGACGCAAGUCUGAACCAGCCAUGCCGCGUGAAGGAUGAAGGUCCUCUGGAUUGUAAACUUCUUUUAUCUGGGACGAAAACGGGAUUUUUAUCUCAAUUGACGGUACCAGAGGAAUAAGCACCGGCUAACUCCGUGCCAGCAGCCGCGGUAAUACGGAGGGUGCGAGCGUUAUCCGGAUUUGCUGGGUUUAAAGGGUGCGUAGGUGGGCUUAUAAGUCAGUGGUGAAAUCUCCGAGCUUAACUUGGAAACUGCCGUUGAUACUAUAGGUCUUGAAUUAUCUGGAGGUAAGCGGAAUAUGUCAUGUAGCGGUGAAAUGCUUAGAUAUGACAUAGAACACCAAUUGCGAAGGCAGCUUACUACAUAUAAAUUGACGCUGAGGCACGAAAGCGUGGGGAUCAAACA
rnacentral:rRNA from 1 species